ACGAACGCUGGCGGCGUGCCUAAUACAUGCAAGUCGAGCGGAAUGAUGAAGAAGCUUGCUUCUUCUGAUUUUAGCGGCGGACGGGUGAGUAACACGUGGGCAACCUACCUUGUAGAUUGGGAUGACUCCGGGAAACCGGGGCUAAUACCGAAUAAUCCAUUUUGCUUCAUGGCGAGAUGUUGAAAGACGGUUUCGGCUGUCACUACAAGAUGGGCCCGCGGCGCAUUAGCUAGUUGGUAGGGUAAUGGCCUACCAAGGCGACGAUGCGUAGCCGACCUGAGAGGGUGAUCGGCCACACUGGGACUGAGACACGGCCCAGACUCCUACGGGAGGCAGCAGUAGGGAAUCUUCCACAAUGGACGAAAGUCUGAUGGAGCAACGCCGCGUGAGUGAAGAAGGUUUUCGGAUCGUAAAACUCUGUUGUAAGGGAAGAACACGUACGAGAGUAACUGCUCGUACCUUGACGGUACCUUAUUAGAAAGCCACGGCUAACUACGUG
rnacentral:rRNA from 1 species